GUCCUAUUACCCCAAUCGGCAGAGGGAACGGACUUAAAAUCCGUAUAGUCUCAGUUCGAAUCUGAGAUAGGACACCA
rnacentral:tRNA from 1 species